rnacentral:rRNA from 1 species
GGAUGCGAUCAUACCGGCACUAAAGCACCGGAUCCCAUCAGAACUCCGAAGUUAAGCGUGCUUGGGCGAGAGUAGUACUUGGAUGGGUGACCUCCUGGGAAGUCCUCGUGUUGCAUUCC